UACAGAGGGUGCGAGCGUUAAUCGGAAUUACUGGGCGUAAAGCGUGCGUAGACGGUUAUUUAAGUCGGAUGUGAAAGCCCCGGGCUCAACCUGGGAAUUGCAUUCGAGACUGAAUAGCUAGGGUGCGGUAGAGGGAAGCGGAAUUUCCGGUGUAGCGGUGAAAUGCGUAGAGAUCGGGAGGAACAUCCGUGGCGAAGGCGACUACCUGGACCAGCACUGACACUGAGGCACGAAAGCGUGGGGAGCAAACAGG
rnacentral:rRNA from 1 species